rnacentral:rRNA from 1 species
CCUACGGGAGGCAGCAGUGGGGAAUUUUGGACAAUGGGCGAAAGCCUGAUCCAGCCAUGCCGCGUGCAGGAUGAAGGCCUUCGGGUUGUAAACUGCUUUUGUACGGAACGAAAAGCCUCUUUCUAAUAAAGAGGGGUCAUGACGGUACCGUAAGAAUAAGCACCGGCUAACUACGUGCCAGCAGCCGCGGUAAUACGUAGGGUGCGAGCGUUAAUCGGAAUUACUGGGCGUAAAGCGUGCGCAGGCGGUUAUAUAAGACAGUUGUGAAAUCCCCGGGCUCAACCUGGGAACUGCAUCUGUGACUGUAUAGCUAGAGUACGGUAGAGGGGGAUGGAAUUCCGCGUGUAGCAGUGAAAUGCGUAGAUAUGCGGAGGAACACCGAUGGCGAAGGCAAUCCCCUGGACCUGUACUGGCGCUCAUGCACGAAAGCGUGGGGAGCAAACAGGAUUAGAUACCCUGGUAGUCCACGCCCUAAACGAUGUCAACUGGUUGUUGGGAAUUCACUUUCUCAGUAACGAAGCUAACGCGUGAAGUUGACCGCCGNGGAGGUACGGUCCGGCGAGUUAGAACGUACAAUUAGAAGUUGCGGCGNGAGACGNGCCGACGGACGACGACGAGGGAGGAGG